UCCCUGUUGGUCUAGUGGUUAGGACUCUGCACUUUCACUGCCAAGAGCCUGGGUUCAAUCCCUGGUUGGGGAA
rnacentral:tRNA from 1 species